GGUUGAUCCUGCCAGUAGUCAUAUGCUUGUCUCAAAGAUUAAGCCAUGCAAGUCUUAGUAUAAGCUUUUAUACGGUGAAACUGCGAAUGGCUCAUUAAAUCAGUUAUAGUUUAUUUGAUGAUUUCAGCUACAUGGAUAACCGUAGUAAUUCUAGAGCUAAUACAUGGGAAAAGACCCGACUUUUUGGAGGGUUGUGUUUAUUAGGUAUAUUAACUGACGGCCCUUUGGUGGGUAGGUUGGUGAGUCAUGAUAAAUGUGUUACGGAUCGCAGCAAGGCCGCAAGGCUGGCGAUG
rnacentral:rRNA from 1 species